AAUCCAUAGGUUAAUGAGGCGAACCGGGGGAACUGAAACAUCUAAGUACCCCGAGGAAAAGAAAUCAACCGAGAUUCCCCCAGUAGCGGCGAGCGAACGGGGAGGAGCCCAGAGCCUGAAUCAGCAUGUGUGUUAGUGGAAGCGUCUGGAAAGGCGCGCGAUACAGGGUGACAGCCCCGUACACAAAAGCGCAUGUGCUGUGAGCUCGAUGAGUAGGGCGGGACACGUGGUAUCCUGUCUGAAUAUGGGGGGACCAUCCUCCAAGGCUAAAUACUCCUGACUGACCGAUAGUGAACCAGUACCGUGAGGGAAAGGCGAAAAGAACCCCGGCGAGGGGAGUGAAAAAGAACCUGAAACCGUGUACGUACAAGCAGUGGGAGCACCCUUCGGGGUGUGACUGCGUACCUUUUGUAUAAUGGGUCAGCGACUUAUAUUCUGUAGCAAGGUUAACCGUAUAGGGGAGCCGGAGGGAAACCGAGUCUUAACCGGGCGUUAAGUUGCAGGGUAUAGACCCGAAACCCGGUGAUCUAGCCAUGGGCAGGUUGAAGGUUGGGUAACACUAACUGGAGGACCGAACCGACUAAUGUUGAAAAAUUAGCGGAUGACCUGUGGCUGGGGGUGAAAGGCCAAUCAAACCGGGAGAUAGCUGGUUCUCCCCGAAAGCUAUUUAGGUAGCGCCUCGUGAAUUCAUCUCCGGGGGUAGAGCACUGUUUCGGCUAGGGGGCCAUCCCGGCUUACCAACCCGAUGCAAACUGCGAAUACCGGAGAAUGUUAUCACGGGAGACACACGGCGGGUGCUAACGUCCGUCGUGAAGAGGGAAACAACCCAGACCGCCAGCUAAGGUCCCAAAGU
rnacentral:rRNA from 1 species